CGGACGGGUGAGUAAUGUCUGGGAAACUGCCUGAUGGAGGGGGAUAACUACUGGAAACGGUAGCUAAUACCGCAUAACGUCGCAAGACCAAAGAGGGGGACCUUCGGACCUCUUGCCAUCGGAUGUGCCCAGAUGGGAUUAGCUAGUAGGUGGGGUAAAGGCUCACCUAGGCGACGAUCCCUAGCUGGUCUGAGAGGAUGACCAGCCACACUGGAACUGAGACACGGUCCAG
rnacentral:rRNA from 1 species